rnacentral:lncRNA from 1 species
CUCAUUUGCUGAGGCAAGGUCUGACAGACCAAUCAGAGCUUCCCAUAAGGCUCAUCUCUCUAGGCGGCUUGCUCUGAUGAAUCCCGUCUCUGCCUUUUGAGGCUGGGAGUAGCUGUGGGCUACAACAUCCAGCCAGCAUUUCCUGGAUUCUGGGAAUCUGAACUCUGGGCCUCAUCGUACAUAACAAACGCCUUAACGGCUCAUUCAUCUCUUUGGCUUCAACUGCCAGCCAAGUCAGUUUUCUCAUCUUACCGAAAUAUCUGCAUGCUGAUCGCUCUGGAGCAUUUAUUAAAAAAUUCAGAGCCCCGAGUCUCUGGAGAGAGAGCCAAGGAAACUACAUUGUAAACAAACGAGACUUUUGUCCUAGAAGAUGAUGAAAUGCUUUCCCGACUGAGUACAAAACUGGGACUGCAGCCACUUGGCCUGCUUUGAAAAGGGAAUACCAGGGAAGUAUAUUCAUUUCAUCCUUUCUAAACAACGGAUCCAGGAGACAGGUCUUAGAGUGGGAGACUGGAGUCACAGCCUGAGAAGUUGACCGUGGGAAGCAGGUGUUGCAUGUAGAGUGGCCCUACAGAUGUGUCAAGAACGGGGACCAACUUGAUCUCGCUCACCACAUGAUCAUGUCUCUUGAUUGUGACCAAACGUUCCUUUGUGUGGGGACUGUCAAAUCCCAUGGCUGUUGAAAGGAAAACAAACAUCUUCUGAUGGUCACUGCCCU